GACGAACGCUGGCGGCGUGCUUAACACAUGCAAGUCGAACGCUGAAGACCUGGCUUUUGUUGGGUUGGAUGAGUGGCGAACGGGUGAGUAACACGUGAGUAACCUGCCCUCUUCUUUGGGAUAACGCCCGGAAACGGGUGCUAAUACUGGAUAUUCACUGAUCUUCGCAUGGGGGUUGGUGGAAAGGUUUGUUCUGGUGGGGGAUGGGCUCGCGGCCUAUCAGCUUGUUGGUGGGGUGAUGGCCUACCAAGGCUUUGACGGGUAGCCGGCCUGAGAGGGUGACCGGUCACAUUGGGACUGAGAUACGGCCCAGACUCCUACGGGAGGCAGCAGUGGGGAAUAUUGCACAAUGGGCGAAAGCCUGAUGCAGCGACGCCGCGUGAGGGACGGAGGCCUUCGGGUUGUAAACCUCUUUCGCUCAUGGUCAAGCCGCAACUGUGGGUUGUGGUGAGGGUAGUGGGUAAAGAAGCGCCGGCUAACUACGUG
rnacentral:rRNA from 1 species